rnacentral:ncRNA from 1 species
UCAAUAUGGUGUUGCUUUGGUGCCUGCGAGUCACUUCGUGGGCGAAGAGGGAAACCGGUGAAAAUCCGGCGCUGCCCCCGCAACUGUAAGCGGCAAGCCAAGGCCCGAAACCACUGAUGCGAGGCAGCAUCGGGAAGGGGGCCAAGGCGAUAGAGCCGCAAAGCCAGGAGACCUGCCAGGGCAACAUAAACGAC